rnacentral:misc_RNA from 1 species
CGUCGAGUCCAGCUCGCG